GAGAAAGUGAUGAUUACCUGCUCUGAGAGACACUGGCUCAUUUUUACAAAAGAAACCAGCAAAUUAUUCACGUGCCUAAAUAGUGGAGAUUGGGAUCACAUGACUGAGUGUGCAGAGAUUAGUUGUGAAGUUCCACAUAAUCAGCAUGUGUAUUAUCCAAGCGGUUACUUUAGAAGAGAUUUGAGACUUGGAGUGAAAAAAACAUACAGAUGUGAGUCUGGAUAUCGUGAAACAGCAAAAGAAGCAACAUGUACACCAGACGGAUGGACGCCAAACCCACUGUGUGCUGUUGCUUAUUAGUGUAGCGUGUCUGUACACGAAGACAACACAAGGAUGAGAUCCAGCCCUGGUUUUAAUCUGAUCAGUGAAUCACAGGCGACAGAGGCACGUACAGGAAAAUCGACAGCCUGUGGCUAUUACAUAAAGAAACAAACAAACCAAAAACAAUUACGUGGAAAUAAAACUGAUUA